UGGCAGUGGGUGGGGCUGUGGGGUGGGAAAUCCGCAGGGAGAUGCAGUGAAACAGUGGCAUCUGGGCAGAGCACGGAGAUAAGGGAAAAGCAUCUGGGGAGCACAGUGAGAUCGAAACUGAAAGCAAAGAAAGGAGGAGGGAAAAGAAAGGAGAAUCUCCAUCCCCUGUUGGACACAAGGGGGAACACAGUGACCAAGAAUCAGGAUAAGGCUGAGAAGAACUUCACCCAACGAGAUGAAGAAAUCACCAGCUGGCAGUUGUCAUUCCUGCUUCAGCCUGGGAAAUCCAUCCUCUGUGGCCAAAUGCAAACUGCAGCACAAUUCCAGGAGGCCU
ensembl:lncRNA